GCCCUGGUAUCCCUAACUGGUAAGGGGCCUGCCUCGAGAGCAGGUGUCCUUUUGGACUUGCAGGUUCGAGUCCUGCCCAGGGCG
rnacentral:tRNA from 2 species